rnacentral:pre_miRNA from 1 species
AGAGGAAUAGCUGGGUCAAAUGGUGGUUCCAUUCCCAGAUUUCCAAGGAAUAUCCAUACUGCUUUUCAUAUUGGCUGCACCAAUUUGCAGUCCCACCAGCAGU